rnacentral:lncRNA from 1 species
CCCUUGGGUCCUUCCAGCUUCAGUGUGGUGCUGUUCCAUGGGGUCCCCCUCUCCCUCCUGCCAUGGUCUCUCAUAAAGAGAGGAGAGGAGGUGCCAAGCAAGGAGGAAGGCACAGCCCUGAGGAAAGGACUCUGGAGAGCCCAUCCCAAGGCCAAGUUCACAGCCCUCUUGAGUGGCCUGGGGUCCCUCCUGCUCCAUAGACACAUGUCAAUCAAAGGCACUGGGCUUGGUCACACCCCCAGAUGUGCCUGCAGAUGGGGUCAGAGGAGGCACCUCUCCUGGGGACCCACUCUAACACACCUCUGUCCCCCCAUGGCAGUGCCGGCAGUGACCCAGGCCCCGUUGCUGUGUACCUAUGUCUGGGAUACAGGCAGCUAAAGAGAGAAGAGGAGGUUGCUCAGGAAGAGCCAUUGCCAUGGCAAUACUCAAGCAACAGGUCAUCACCGAGCAGCAGGCUCUGUUCUGGGUGCUGGAGUUGCAAGUGCGAACAAGACAUCCAACCGACAAGGCCCCGCCCUCUUGGAUGACCUCACAAUGGCCGCAGAGACCAGACAGUAAAUAAAUAAAUGAGGUCAUGGCCAAGAGUGGCAUCCUAGAGGGGAAUGAAAGAGCAGGAGGGGGACACGGGGAGGCCUCAGACUUCAGUUGAAACUUACGCGGGACAGGCUGGCUGGGCAGGAGCAGAUGAGAGAAGUCCAAGGCAUGGAGGCCAGGACAAAGGCCUGGGCAGGAGCAUCUAGCUAGCUGCAGUGCUUGGGUUGGUGCUGAGAAAGUCCCCUUCCAUGGGAAGCACAAUGGGACUCCUCAAAGGGGCUGAUUGGCAGGGGUGGACAAAGCAUCAGACUGACACUGGGCAGUGUGUGGAGAAUGGAUUGUGCGGCAGGAGGGGCCCCUGGGAGAGGUUGGAAGCUGAUACCAUGGUUCAGGGACUGGAGACAGUGACUUGGACAGUGAAAAUGGGGGCGAAGCCAGGUGUGAUGGCACAUGCAAAUAAUCCCAGCAUUCUGGGAGGCUGAAGUAGGAGGAUCACAAGUUUGAGCCCCAGCUGAGAAACUGAGUGACUCAGUGAGACUCUGUCUCAAAAUUAAAAAUAAAAAAGGUCUGGGGCUGUAAAAGGAAGAAAAAAG